UACGGGGGGGGCAAGCGUUGUUCGGAAUUACUGGGCGUAAAGGGCUCGUAGGCGGCCAACUAAGUCAGACGUGAAAUCCCUCGGCUUAACCGGGGAACUGCGUCUGAUACUGGAUGGCUAGAGGUUGGGAGAGGGAUGCGGAAUUCCAGGUGUAGCGGUGAAAUGCGUAGAUAUCUGGAGGAACACCGGUGGCGAAGGCGGCAUCCUGGACCAAUUCUGACGCUGAGGAGCGGAAACCAGGGGAGCAAACGGG
rnacentral:rRNA from 1 species